GCUGAGGUAGCCAAGCCCGGACCAAGGCGCAGGCCUUGAGAGCCUGUGGUGCUUGCGCACCGCGAUUCAAAUCCCUCCCUCAGCG
rnacentral:tRNA from 1 species